AUUAAGGUGGCAGAGCCGGGAAAUUGCAAAGGGCCUAAGCCCCUUGUUCAGAAGUUCAAAUCCUCUCCUUAAUU
rnacentral:tRNA from 1 species